rnacentral:SRP_RNA from 1 species
CCGUGCUAAGCGGGGAGGUAGCGGUGCCCUAUACUCGCAAUCCGCUAUAGCGAGGCCGAAUCCCCACCCGAGGUGGUAAGAUUUCAAGGUCAGCCUUAUGGAAGUGGUGUUGACACCCAGGUCCUGCGCAACGGGAACCAGUGAACCCUGUCAGGUCCGGAAGGAAGCAGCAGUAAGCUGUUCCUCCCGUGUGCCGCGGGAGUGCCUGGGUCGAGCCAUAACCAUAAGUAACGCUUGGGAUUUUUCCAUCGACGGUGGGUGCACGG